rnacentral:rRNA from 1 species
AUUGAACGCUGGCGGCAGGCCUAACACAUGCAAGUCGAGCGGGGUUUUCGGACCUAGCGGCGGACGGGUGAGUAAUGCGUAGGAAGCUACCCGAUAGAGGGGGAUACCAGUUGGAAACGACUGUUAAUACCGCAUAAUGUCUACGGACCAAAGUGUGGGACCUUCGGGCCACAUGCUAUCGGAUGCGCCUACGUGGGAGUAGCUAGUUGGUGGGGUAAUGGCUCACCAAGGCGACGAUCCCUAGCUGGCUUGAGAGGAUGAUCAGCCACACUGGACAGGAGACACGGUCCAGAAUCGUACGGGAGGCAGCAGUGGGGAAUAUUGGACAAUGGGCGCAAGCCUGAUCCAGCCAUGCCGCGUGUGUGAAGAAGGCCUUCGGGUUGUAAAGCACUUUCAGCGAUGAGGAAGGGAGUUGUGUUAAUAGCACAGCUUCUUGACGUUACUCGCAGAAGAAGCACCGGCUAACUCUGUGCCAGCCGCCGCCGUAAGAC